UACAGAGGUCCCAAGCGUUGUUCGGAUUCACUGGGCGUAAAGGGUGCGUAGGCGGUCGGGUAAGUCUGGCGUGAAAUCUCCAAGCCUAACUUGGAAACUGCGUUGGAUACUAUUCGGCUUGAGAGUUGGAGGGGGGACUGGAAUUCUUGGUGUAGCAGUGAAAUGCGUAGAUAUCAAGAGGAACACCAGUGGCGAAGGCGAGUCUCUGGACAUUUCCUGACGCUGAGGCACGAAAGCCAGGGGAGCAAACGGG
rnacentral:rRNA from 1 species